CCUACGGGUGGCAGCAGUGAGGAAUAUUGGUCAAUGGGCGGGAGCCUGAACCAGCCAAGUCGCGUGAGGGACGACGGUCCUAUGGAUUGUAAACCUCUUUUGUCGGGGAACAAAGGCGCCCACGGGUGGGCGGAUGAGUGUACCCGAAGAAAAAGCAUCGGCUAACUCCGUGCCAGCAGCCGCGGUAAUACGGAGGAUGCGAGCGUUAUCCGGAUUUAUUGGGUGUAAAGGGCGUGUAGGCGGGAGCGCAAGUCAGAUGUGAAAACUCAGGGCUCAACCCUGAGCCUGCAUUUGAAACUGUGUUUCUUGAGUGCUGGAGAGGCAAUCGGAAUUCCGUGUGUAGCGGUGAAAUGCGUAGAUAUACGGAGGAACACCAGUGGCGAAGGCGGAUUGCUGGACAGUAACUGACGCUGAGGCGCGAAAGCGUGGGGAGCAAACAGGAUUAGAUACCCCAGUAGUC
rnacentral:rRNA from 1 species